CGGUGUUUAACUGGCGUGAUGUGGGACGUCCUACCGGUGGGCUUAGCCUCGCGAGGGGCGGCCCAACUAAUAUCCCGUCGCGGUGCUCUUUACUGAGUGUCGAGUCGGGCCGGUACGUUUACUUUGAACAAAUUAGAGUGCUUAAAGCAGGCUAUCCUCGCCUGAAUACUGCGUGCAUGGAAUAAUGGAAUAGGACCUCGGUUCUAUUUUGUUGGUUUUCGGAACCCCGAGGUAAUGAUUAAUAGGGACAGAUGGGGGCAUUCGUAUUGCGACGUUAGAGGUGAAAUUCUUGGAUCGUCGCAAGACGGACAGAAGCGAAAGCAUUUGCCAAAAAUGUUUUCAUUAAUCAAGAACGAAAGUUAGAGGUUCGAAGGCGAUCAGAUACCGCCCUAGUUCUAACCAUAAACGAUGCCAGCUAGCGAUCCGCCGAAGUUCCUCCGAUGACUCGGCGGGCAGCUUCCGGGAAACCAAGGCUUUUGGGUUCCGGGGGAAGUAUGGUUGCAAAGCUGAAACUUAAAGGAAUUGACGGAAGGGCACCACCAGGAGUGGAGCCUGCGGCUUAAUUUGACUCAACACGGGAAACCUCACCAGGCCCAGACACCGGAAGGAUUGACAGAUUGAUAGCUCUUUCUUGAUUCGGUGGGUGGUGGUGCAUGGGCCGUUCUUAGUUGGUGGAGCGAUUUGUCUGGUUAAUUCCGAUAACGAACGAGACUCUAGCCUGCUAAAUAGGCGUACCUUAUGGUAUCGCGAAGGCCCCCGGCUUCGGCCGGUGGGUUUUUACUACCAACGUACAAACAAAUCUUCUUAGAGGGCACAGGCGG
rnacentral:rRNA from 1 species